UGUACACUAGGGUACGGUCAUAGUCAAGCAGUUCAGUCUGGGAUAGAGUUCUGAAAUUAGAGAAUUUAGGUCUACAGUAGAGUUAGCCAGGCACCUCAGAUACCGCGUAAUAUUAGGUGCGAGUCGUAGCUAUGUAAAGAGGGUCCCUAAUAGGUUUGGCGGGAUGCGGGAUUUGGCUUUUCUUUGAGGUGAUAUUUGGGAUUCGAGCUGAAAACAGGGACGUCUGUAAAUUCGAACCUGUAACGGCCACCUCUCCACAACGGCAACUUUUUUUGUACCAUACAUUCACUCUUGUUUUGACCUCUCUACAACGGCCACUUAAGACACAAUUUAAGCGUGUUCAAACCGGCCAAAAUGACCUCUUCACAACGACUGACAAACAGAGUAUACAAAACCCCAUUUUUGACUGGGCGUACAGCAAUAAAAGUUCUCGAAACCUGUUCCGUACCGUGCAUCGUCGGGUUGUACGGUACCAUUUGACGAAAGGGAACAUUAACUGUCUGUAGUAUUUAAAAAAGCUUGCGGUUUAUUAAUUAGAAACUGAACAUUUUGUUUCUGUUUCAUAUAUAUUUUUUCAAAACUGAAAACUUUUUACCCUCCCCUCCCUAAUAAAAUUGGUGUCAUAUUACAACCCUGCUUCUCCAUGUGGAGAGGUUUGACUGUAACAUUUAGCAUUUAUAUAGGAACAUUGUUUUUCCAGCCGAGGCUGAAUAUUCAUAUUUUUUGCCGAUUUUAGGAUGAAAUAAUCUUGUGAAUAUUCUUAGAUUAUAGCGUAUGACAUUUCUGUUUUCGAAUAUAUUUGGUGUCUGGAUGUUGCAUGGUGUUAAAGUAAGUUUGGAACCGGCUGCAGGCAUUAAAGCCUGUUAUGACGCACACAACUUCCCAGUGCAGCAAUAAAUAACGUGAUCCCGCGUGAUUUCCUGGUUCCCGCGUAAACCGUGAAAAGUUUUCGUGACGUUAUGCGUUUUCUCGUGACGCGAAGACACUGGUAAAGAGCAAACAUGGCGACGGGAGUUUGCAGAUUUGAGAGGAUUAUAAACUUAUUUUGGUGCCAAAACCACGAUUAAUAUGGCAUGCAUGGUAUCAUUUUCCUUUUAAGCAUAUUUUCCUCGUUUGGUUGGAUUUGGGGGCAAGGAAAAUGGCUGUGACGGGUGCAGAACACUCAAAUGAAGACCACGUACGUACGCGUUUGAUGCCGCUCACCAGCUCACUGACAACAGCCUGGCAAAUUAUUCUAAAGGCUACUUGAGGAAGAGCUGGAUUGAUGUACAGUACAUGUAUGUACCAGAUUAACAAGACAUUACGUAGAGAAGAUAAGGAAAGAAGGAAGAUUACUAAAGACUGAAGUGGCAAAGAGACAGACCAAAAAAGAAAAACAAUGGACUGAUGCAUGGCAACAGGUGCAACUGGAAGAAACCAAACCWGUUACCUUGACUCAGACCAGUCAACAAUGGAUGGACAGUGGAGAAGGCUGGAAAGACAGUGGACAAACCGAAAACAUUCAGACCUUCACCAGCCUGAGGUAAUUGCUUGUAACUCUUUUUGCCAGUUAUCCUGAUCAAAUUUCAGGCAAAGAUGCUAGACAGCAGAGAUCAUCACCAGACGGCAUGGACUUGGAAAGACAAGAAAAUGGGCAACAGGCCAGACACAAAGGAGGAUGCUUAAAGAUUGGCUACCAAGACAAGACAACAAGAUGGUUUAUUAACUAAAGUAGUUUGUCUAUUUAAUUGAGUAUUUCCUAUUUUGGCCCAGCCCGGGAGGCCUUUGAAUGUGGGGUACAGCUGGCCCGGGGUUUUCCUCCUAGGGGCAAGUGGACGUACAGGGAGGUUUUUCACCCAGCUGUUGUUCCACAACCCCCGUUCAGGUUAGUUGGUUAUUUGUUUAGCUUGAUACAAACAUAGUCUUAAACUAGAUUUUCAUAAUAGACUCUUGGCAAACUGCUUGCAUUGGUUGGAGCAAGUCAAUCUGAUGAACUCAGACAUCACAAACUCACAAGAACAAGUAACUCUCAACCGAUACCAACAACUACUUUUCUUUCACCCAACAAGUUGCUUUUUCGUGACCUCAACAAACUUUAACUUCAAACAGAACCAACACAAACUUGACUAACAACAGAUGGAUUGAGACAACACAACAUCUAACACUGACAACUUUACACCUUACAGAUAACUUAUUGGAGACCUGAGCAAACCAACCAACAAACUUUAAUGUUAAACAGAACCAACACAAACUUGACUAACAACAGAUGGAUUGAGACUACAAAACAUCUGACCUGUAACUUUACACACUACAGAUGACUAACCAAACUUUAGUUUUUGACAGAACCAUCACAAACUUGACUAACAACAGACGGAGUGAGACUUACAGAUGACUUAUUGAAGACCUCAACAAACCACACAACAAACUUACACUUCAAACAGAACCAACACAAACUUGACUAACAACAGAUAGGGUGAAACUAGAAAACAUCUAACACAGACAACUUUACACCUUACAGAUGACUUAUUGAAGACCUCAACAAACCAAACAACAAACUUUAACUUCAAACAGAACCAACAUAAAAUUGACAUUGACCUUCCAUCUAACAGCAGAUGGAUUGACACUGACAUCUGAAGCCAACAAUUACUUACAUCUUGAAGAUGACUUAUUCACACAAAAAAAGAUGACCUAUUUACAACCUCCACAAACUGUCAAACAAACUUUUAUUAACUUCAGACAGAACAAACACAUUUACUUGAUGAACAUAAUACUGUAGAUAGAUUGAGACCAGCAACUACUUACAUGUGACAACUGACUUAAUUAUCAGGACCUCAACGAACCUAAAAACUGCACCUGCAUGACUCUAGGACUUCAUUGUAAAAUGAAGAGACUGUCAUUGAUACUGCAGACUACUACUGACUGCUGCCAUGUACCACGAUCACCAAAACUACAGAAACUGCACA